GGAGGGGUCGCAUAGCCCGGUCUAGUGCGGUCGCCUGCUAAGUGACUGUAGGGGUCUUAAAAGCUUCUACCGCGGGUUCAAAUCCCGCCCCCUCCG
rnacentral:tRNA from 1 species